rnacentral:misc_RNA from 1 species
AGCAGCCGCGGUAAUUCCAGCUCCAAUAGCGUAUAUUAAAGUUGUUGCAGUUAAAAAGCUCGUAGUUGAAUUUCGGGAUUGACGUGAUGGUCGUGCCUUACGGGGUAUGAACUGUUGCAGUCAAUUUCUCACCUUCUGGAGAAAUAUGAUGUCCUUAAUUGGGUGUCAUAUGGAACCAGGACUUUUACCUUGAAAAAUUAGAGUGUUUAAAGCAGGCUUAUUGCUCGAAUACAUUAGCAUGGAAUAAUAAAAUAGGACGGCAUGGUUCUAUUUUGUUGGUUUCUAGGAUCACCGUAAUGAUUAAUAGGGAUAGUUGGGGGCAUUAGUAUUCAAUUGUCAGAGGUGAAAUUCUUGGAUUUAUUGAAGACUAACUACUGCGAAAGCAUUUGCCAAGGAUGUUUUCAUUAAUCAAGAACGAAAGUUAGGGGAUCGAAGACGAUCAGAUACCGUCGUAGUCUUAACCAUAAACUAUGCCGACUAGGAAUCAGACGAUGUUAAUUUUUAAUGUACUCGUUG